ACUCCUACGGGAGGCAGCAGGUGGGGAAUAUUGCACAAUGGGCGCAAGCCUGAUGCAGCCAUGCCGCGUGUAUGAAGAAGGGCCUUCGGGGUUGUAAAGUAGCUUUGCAGCAGUGAGGAAGGUGGGUAUGGUUAAUAGCAUACUCAUUUGACGUUAGCUGCAGAAGAAGCACCGGCUAACUCCGUGCCAGCAGCCGCGGUAAUACGGAGGGUGCGAGCGUUAAUCGGAAUUACUGGGGCGUAAAGCGCAUGCAGGUGGUUUUGUUAAGUCAGAUGUGAAAGCCC
rnacentral:rRNA from 1 species